GACGAACGCUGGCGGCGUGCUUAACACAUGCAAGUCGAACGGAAAGGCCUCUUUCGGGGGGUGCUCGAGUGGCGAACGGGUGAGUAACACGUGAGUAACCUGCCCUUGACUUUGGGAUAACUUCAGGAAACUGGGGCUAAUACCGGAUAGGAGCUCCUGCUGCAUGGUGGGGGUUGGAAAGUUUCGGCGGUUGGGGAUGGACUCGCGGCUUAUCAGCUUGUUGGUGGGGUAGUGGCUUACCAAGGCUUUGACGGGUAGCCGGCCUGAGAGGGUGACCGGCCACAUUGGGACUGAGAUACGGCCCAGUCUCCUACGGGAGGCAGCAGUGGGGAAUAUUGCACAAUGGGUGGAAGCCUGAUGCAGCAACGCCGUGUGCGGGAUGACGGCCUUCGGGUUGUAAACCGCUUUCGCUCAUGACGAAGCUUUGUGUGACGGUAGUGGGUAAAGAAGCACCGGCUAACUACGUG
rnacentral:rRNA from 1 species